rnacentral:rRNA from 1 species
GGGGGGGGGGGGGGGGGGGGGGGGGGGGGGGGGGGGGGGGGGGGGGGCGGGGGGCUUGCGGGCGGGUGGCGGGUGGCGGCCGGGUGGGUCAUGUCUGGGACAGUGCCCGAGUGGGGGGGAGCCGUAAUGGGGGGGGUAGCUCAUGGCGCAUCAUGUCGCGCGGCCCCAGGGGGGGGCCUGCGGGACUAUUUCACGCGGAUUUGCCCCGAUGCGAUUAGCUUGUUUUUGCGGUAGUGGCUCACCAAGGGGACGACCCCUAGCUGGUCUGAGAGGAGGACCGGUCACACGGGAACUGAGACACGGUCCAGACUCCUACGGGAGGCAGAAGUGGGGAAUAUUGCACAAUGGGCGCAAGCCUGAUGCAGCCAUGCCGCGUGUGUGAAGAAGGCCUUCGUGUUGUAAAGCACUUUCAGCGGGGAGGAAGGCGAUACGGUUAAUAACCGUGUUGAUUGACGUUACCCGCAGAAGAAGCACCGGCUAACUCCGUG